UACGUAGGGGGCGAGCGUUGUCCGGAUUUAUUGGGCGUAAAGAGCUCGUAGGCGGUUCGAUAAGUCGGACGUGAAAUCUCCACGCUCAACGUGGAGGGGCCGUUCGAUACUGUCGUGACUCGAGUCCGGUAGGGGAGUGUGGAAUUCCCGGUGUAGCGGUGAAAUGCGCAGAGAUCGGGAGGAACACCCGUAGCGAAGGCGGCACUCUGGGCCGGUACUGGACGCUGAGGCGCGACAGCGUGGGGAGCAAACAGG
rnacentral:rRNA from 1 species